rnacentral:sRNA from 1 species
ACACCCGUUUUAUUGCUGUUAUGGGUUUGAGCCGAGCUUAGCCUUGUUCAUUUUUUUACACAAUAGCCCUGUAAAAAAUUGAACACACCCGACUGAGCACCCCGGCCGGCCAGGCGUUUCAGCCAGGCGCAAUGCCCUGAAACGCCCCAAAACUGGCCGUGCAGCCCUCUUUUAGGGCAU